rnacentral:snoRNA from 1 species
GUGCGUUUAUCCGCUGCACUACCGCCUGACUCCCAGGUGAAGGGAUAAUUAGCAAUAUAGCUAAAUAGUCAUGCUACCAGUCUCCUUCAAACAGAG